rnacentral:rRNA from 1 species
CCUCGUCCUUAGUUGCCAGCACGUAAUGGUGGGGACUCUAAGGAGACAAACUCUCUUUGAGAGUGGGAAGGUGGGGAUGACGUCAGGUCAGUAUGGCCCUUACGCCUAGGGCUACACACGUGCUACAAUGCCCGGUACAAUAGGACGCAAUACCGCGAGGUGGAGCAAAUCCUCAAAACCGGGCCCAGUUCGGAUUGGAGUCUGCAACUCGACUCCAUGAAGUCGGAAUCGCUAGUAAUGACGUAUCAGCUAUGACGUCGUGAAUACGUUCCCGGGCCUUGUACACACCGCCCGUCACAUCAUGAAAGCCGGUUUUGCCCGAAGUACGUGAGCUAUCCCUCGGGAAGCAGCGUCCUAAGGCAGGGCUGGUGAUUGGGAUGAAGUCGUAACAAGGUAGCCGUAGGGGAACCUGCGGCUGGAUCACCUCCUUU